rnacentral:rRNA from 1 species
CCUACGGGUGGCAGCAGUGGGGAAUAUUGCACAAUGGGGGGAACCCUGAUGCAGCGACGCCGCGUGAGUGAUGAAGUAUUUCGGUAUGUAAAGCGCUAUCAGCAGGGAAGAAAAUGACGGUACCUGACUAAGUAGCCCCGGCUAACUACGUGCCAGCAGCCGCGGUCAUACGUCAGGGGCAAGCGUUAUCCGGAUAUACUGGGUGUAAAGGGAGCGUAGACGGUUAUGCGAGGCUGAAGUGAAGGCCCAAGGCUCAACCAUGGGACUGCUUUGGACACUGUAAAACUGGAGUGCAGGAGAGGUAAGCGGAAUUCCUAGUGUAGCGGUGAAAUGCGUAGAUAUUAGGAGGAACACCAGUGGCGAAGGCAGCUUACUGGACUGUAACUGACGUUGAGGCUCGAAGGCGUGGGGAGCAAACAGGAUUAGAUACCCGAGUAGUC